rnacentral:rRNA from 1 species
GACAGAGGAUGCAAGCGUUAUCCGGAUUUAUUGGGCGUAAAGAGCUCGUAGGCGGCUUGUCGCGUCGUUCGUGAAAACUUGGGGCUCAACUCCAAGCUUGCGGUCGAUACGGGCAGGCUAGAGUUCGGUAGGGGAGACUGGAAUUCCUGGUGUAGCGGUGAAAUGCGCAGAUAUCAGGAGGAACACCGGUGGCGAAGGCGGGUCUCUGGGCCGAUACUGACGCUGAGGCGCGAAAGCUAGGGUAGCAAACGGG